AACGAUUUUUUAACGAUUAACAUAUAUAAUGGUGUGUUGUAAAUUAAAUGAAAAUAUUAUUGUAGUAUCAAUUUGCGUUUGCAGCUAUGGCGACAUUUAAAAUAUGUUGCUUUCGAUAUCGAUCCGGUUCAUACCUUUGUGACAGUAAAACCAGCAACAAACUUGUGCGGGGAGUGAUUAAUAAUCCAUUUUCAGUUUAUUCUGCCACUGGAAACAUAGUUGGAGAAACAGAAGGGAGCUUUUUAAUUUUGUCCUGUUUAGAAUGACUGCAUCAUGGAUGGUGGAGAUGACGAAAUUCCUUGUGGUGGUGGUGGUGGUGUUAAUAAAUGAAGAAAGUCCAAAUAUUGUAAAUGUCCGGUAGGAUAUGAUCAGGAACACCGCAUAAAACUCUAAACAGUCUCAACACAAAACACUGAAUGAUAUUGCAGACCAAGACAACCCAUAUUUAUAGUGCCAACCAUGACAGAGGAUGAGAAUCGAAGGAACUCAAACAAUCUGCCGCUAUUCAGUGAAAUUGAGUAAAAUUUAAAUCAGAUCAGCAGCAGAGGCUGCAUCUUUCUCGACGCAAUCUUGUUGACCAAGAGAAAUACUUCAGAACUUAGGGAAGAUGCAUGCAUGCCUGCAUUGCUGUUGCAGCAAAGACAAGAAACAAAACUUACACGAAAGGGAUAGUGGUUGUCUGAUAAUUGAUAGGACAAGUUUCAAGUCCUAUGCAAACUUAUGGCAGCAGAGCAGGAGCAAGAACCGAUGACGACAACGACCAGUGUCUGCCACAAAAAAGGGCAUUAUCUUCGACGACCAUAAGGGAGUGUCAUUGUGUCUUGAACCUCAAUUCUUCGUUGCUUGCCGCUGCAGUGCCUAUUCUACAGAAUGCACUCAAAAAGGUCAGCAACUUUAUAUGACCGCCACUUCUGUUUUGUUUUUGCUCUUAUUUUGUUAUUAAACUCGGCCUCCCUUCAAACGGAUAAACACCAAUACACUUACACUCAAGGAUAUUUAUUUAAGUUCGAUGUAUAUAAUAUUCCUACGGCUAAAAUUGUUCUAAAAUUAAUAAUAAUUUUUAAUAAAAUUAUUAUAUUCUUCAUUGA
rnacentral:sRNA from 1 species